UCUGAUUGGGUCAACAGGCAGGGCUCACAGAGAACUCCUGCGCGUGUGCUCAGCUGCCUAUCCAUGCUCCACAUGCAACUGAAAGAAACAGAAAGCAGUCAUUUUUGGCAGCCACGUGGUGCGUUGCAGCUGGGGAAAAAUGAUGGCAGAGCCUGUGCUGUGAUGGCUGGUUGAACCAGCCGGAAGACUCCAGCUAUAAACAGUCCUUCAAGGAGAGUAUAACCCCAUCCAAAACCGAUCUCCGGAUCGAGGUCAAGAACUUGACAGGAGGAAAAUCCAUUCAGAGAUACCAACCAACUAUGUGCAAGCCAUUGCACCUUUAUCCUUCCCUCUUCCAGUGCAUCCUAAAGCUUAGAUUGGAGACUGACACCCUUUGUCUGGAUAGCUUUGGACAACGGUAGUCUUUACCUUGUCAGUCUGGAAGCUGACCCCAGAGCCAUAUCUGCAGAAGGUCACAAAAUGUUCACAGUUGUUCCAAAGCAAGCUGUAGUCUGUGGCCCCCACCAACUUUUCUGCUCUACUGACCACCUCUUCAUUACUCAGGACUUUGUUCUUGAAGAGCCUGUCCAUGUGGUUCACCAGAAUGCAGCCUCCAUAGGCAAAGUCCUCCACUGUGUCCACACGGAUCCGGGCCAUUUUGGCAAUGACGCCCAAGAUGAGUCUCUUAUUAGUCACCACCUUCUGGAUCUGCUUCUGGUCGUUGGUGAGAGCUGGCAGGAUGUCUGGCAUCAGGUGGGCCACCCGGUUGUCACCCAGGUAGAUGCCAAAGUGAAUGAAAAGCGUGCGGGGCACUUCCAACAAAUCUCCUGGCUUGAAAUAGGUUGUGUCAUAAUAAGAAGCAUGUUUUUUCUUUUCAUCUUCCUCACUGCUGGAGCCCAUACCAAGGAGCCUGGUGAUCAGGAGAAACUUUUCCAGUAGCAGCGACACUAUUUCGUACAUAGGGUUCUUCAUGAUCUUGUUUCUGGAUGCUGCCACCGCCACAGCUGCUCCUGUUAUUGCCUCAGUCGGCUUCAAAAUCUUGCCUUUUUAUCACAGCAAGAGGGUCCAUCCCACCAACCGAAUCCAUUUUGAUUGGCAGACAGGCAAGUGGGUGGCCCCUGUAGAAUGAAACAGACCUUGACUCAGACAGUGGCUCUUGCAGAAAACAUGCUCCAGGAGAUCGGAUGAUUUAUUCAUGACUGAAGGCACAACAAUAAAAACAACAAAAUCAGCCCCAGAUCAAGCAUUGCAUUGAGGAUUUUGUUACACAAGUUUCGAAAACUUCAUCUUGACAGAUUAUAAAGAUGUACAGAAAUUCAAACAUA